GACGAACGCUUGCGGCGUGCUUAACACAUGCAAGUCGAACGGAAAGGCCCUGCUUUUGUGGGGUGCUCGAGUGGCGAACGGGUGAGUAACACGUGAGUAACCUGCCCUUGACUUUGGGAUAACUUCAGGAAACUGGGGCUAAUACCGGAUAGGAGCUCCUGCUGCAUGGUGGGGGUUGGAAAGUUUCGGCGGUUGGGGAUGGACUCGCGGCUUAUCAGCUUGUUGGUGGGGUAGUGGCUUACCAAGGCUUUGACGGGUAGCCGGCCUGAGAGGGUGACCGGCCACAUUGGGACUGAGAUACGGCCCAGACUCCUACGGGAGGCAGCAGUGGGGAAUAUUGCACAAUGGGCGGAAGCCUGAUGCAGCAACGCCGCGUGCGGGAUGACGGCCUUCGGGUUGUAAACCGCUUUCGCCUGUGACGAGGCGUGAGUGACGGUAAUGGGUAAAGAAGCACCGGCUAACUACGUGCCAGCAGCCGCGGUGAUACGUAGGGUGCGAGCGUUGUCCGGAUUUAUUGGGCGUAAAGGGCUCGUAGGUGGUUGAUCGCGUCGGAAGUGUAAUCUUGGGGCUUAACCCUGAGCGUGCUUUCGAUACGGGUUGACUUGAGGAAGGUAGGGGAGAAUGGAAUUCCUGGUGGAGCGGUGGAAUGCGCAGAUAUCAGGAGGAACACCAGUGGCGAAGGCGGUUCUCUGGGCCUUUCAUGACGCUGAGGAGCGAAAGCGUGGGGAGCGAACAGGCUUAGAUACCCUGGUAGUCCACGCUGUAAACGGUGGGUACUAGGUGUGGGGUCCAUUCCACGGGUUCCGUGCCGUAGCUAACGCUUUAAGUACCCCGCCUGGGGAGUACGGCCGCAAGGCUAAAACUCAAAGGAAUUGACGGGGCCCCGCACAAGCGGCGGAGCAUGCGGAUUAAUUCGAUGCAACGCGUAGAACCUUACCUGGGUUUGACAUGGAUCGGGAGUGCUCAGAGAUGGGUGUGCCUCUUUUGGGGUCGGUUCACAGGUGGUGCAUGGCUGUCGUCAGCUCGUGUCGUGAGAUGUUGGGUUAAGUCCCGCAACGAGCGCAACCCUUGUUCACUGUUGCCAGCACGUUAUGGUGGGGACUCAGUGGAGACCGCCGGGGUCAACUCGGAGGAAGGUGGGGAUGACGUCAAGUCAUCAUGCCCCCUAUGUCCAGGGCUUCACGCAUGCUACAAUGGCUGGUACAGAGAGUGGCGAGCCUGUGAGGGUGAGCGAAUCUCGGAAAGCCGGUCUCAGUUCGGAUUGGGGUCUGCAACUCGACCUCAUGAAGUCGGAGUCGCUAGUAAUCGCAGAUCAGCAACGCUGCGGUGAAUACGUUCCCGGGGCU
rnacentral:rRNA from 1 species